rnacentral:rRNA from 1 species
UACGUAGGGACCAAGCGUUGUUCGGAUUUACUGGGCGUAAAGGGCGCGUAGGCGGCGCGGUAAGUCACUUGUGAAAUCUCUGAGCUUAACUCAGAACGGCCAAGUGAUACUGCAGUGCUAGAGUGUGGAAGGGGCAAUCGGAAUUCUUGGUGUAGCGGUGAAAUGCGUAGAUAUCAAGGGGAACACCUGAGGUGAAGACGGGUUGCUGGGCCAACACUGACGCUGAGGCGCGAAAGCCAGGGGAGCAAACGGG